GGGGGGGGACAUUUCGCACAGUCUCUGGGAUUUUCGAUGCAUGAUGAGUGAAGAGGGCAGUUUAACUUCUUGCUUGCUAACCUACCUCCGGUUGACCUCAAACUUGCUGUGAAGCCAAGGAUAACCCUGACCUGAUCUCUGCCUCCACCUCCCAGUGCUGGGCUAACAGGAGAGAUGGAGGUGAGGGACUAAAAUCCCCUUGGAAACUAACAAGAAGAGAAAGAAUCAGGAAGUACUUGGACAAGAAUAUGGACACAGGAACCAGAAUGCCUGCACUCAAGCCCAGCUCUGAUAGUUACUUGUUAUUUGAUGUUGGAUCAGACACUUCCCUCCUCUGUAUGUCCAUUUCCGUAGCUGAAGAAUGGGGAGGGGUAAUAACAACAGCUAUCUCACUUGGCUCAAGGGAAAGGGAUGAGAACUCUGUCUGACACACAGUGACGUCCCAUAAAUAUGAACUGUCCCCUCCUCCUCCCGUUUCCAGGCAAGGGCUGCUUAUAGCAUGCUUGGGUAAUGGCUUUUGCAUGUACAGAAGAGUAUGUAAAAUGUUAACGUACAGCCUAAUGAGUUACUGUGAAAGGGAUAUUCUCCUAACCCCCACUCCUGUCACUAGAGAGAACAUUCCAGUUCUGAGAUGCUCCCACCACUACCCCAGCUAUUAUGGAAUUCAAUCUCUUAUUUCUCCUUACUGUUUUAACAGUGAAUUGUGCAUCUAAACAAAUACGGUUUCAUUUUGCUUUUGAAGUUUAUACAAAUGAAAACCAAUGUAUAUUC